rnacentral:rRNA from 1 species
AACGAACGCUGGCGGCAUGCCUAACACAUGCAAGUCGAACGAGACCUUCGGGUCUAGUGGCGCACGGGUGCGUAACGCGUGGGAACCUGCCCUUAGGUUCGGAAUAACUCCCCGAAAGGGGUGCUAAUACCGGAUAAUGUCUUCGGACCAAAGAUUUAUCGCCUUUGGAUGGGCCCGCGUUGGAUUAGCUAGUUGGUAGGGUAAAAGCCUACCAAGGCGACGAUCCAUAGCUGGUUUGAGAGGAUGAUCAGCCACACUGGGACUGAGACACGGCCCAGACUCCUACGGGAGGCAGCAGGUGGGAAUAUUGGACAAUGGGCGAGAGCCUGAGCCAGCAAGGCCGCGUAAGUGAUGAAGGCCUGAGGGUUGUAAAGCUCUUUUACCCGGGAUGAUAAUGACAGUACCGGGAGAAUAAGCUCCGGCUAACUCCGUG